rnacentral:rRNA from 1 species
CGGAGGAUCCAAGCGUUAUCCGGAAUCAUUGGGUUUAAAGGGCCCGUAGGCGGGUUUAUAAGUCAGUGGUGAAAGCCCAUCGCUCAACGAUGGAACGGCCAUUGAUACUGUAGAUCUUGAAUUAUUAGGGAGUAACUAGAAUAUGUAGUGUAGCGGUGAAAUGCUUAGAGAUUACAUGGAAUACCAAUUGCGAAGGCAGGUUACUACUAAUGGAUUGACGCUGAUGGACGAAAGCGUGGGUAGCGAACAGGAUUAGAUACCCUGGUAGUCCACGCCGUAAACGAUGGAUACUAGCUGUUCGGAGCAAUCUGAGUGGCUAAGCGAAAGUGAUAAGUAUCCCACCUGGGGAGUACGUUCGCAAGAAUG